ACCAAGGCCGAGGAAACUCUUCUUUCUCAUCAGAAGACGGGUAAGUUCGGUUUCGGAAAGCCCUGGAAGCUGUACAAGGAC
rnacentral:ribozyme from 1 species